ACCGCCCUAUCCCGCCUCACUGACUGUACGUCACGCUGACGCAACGAACAGAGGAUCAGAGAAACUACAAGUCCCAGAAAGCAUUGCGCAGCUAGAAAAAGGGGCGCUCGGUGUUGAGGCAGGGGACAACAAGCCAGAGAUGAAGCUGUACAGUCUGUCGGGGCAUCCCACGCUCCCAUGAAACGUCUUCAAGUUCAAGUCGAGCGCAAUCAUGUUGGACUGCGGCCUGGACAUGACCUCCGCCCCACUUGUGCACAGGAUUUUCAUGGAAGAACUCGUGAAUUCCAUUGAGCGGGUACCCAAGGCUCAGUCUGCCACCUUGUGGAAGCACAAAGAAGUACAAAGGCUGCUGCCCGCACCGCUGAAGGACGCAGUCGAGGUUUUCACCUGGAGGAAAUGCUACAGCAUGCAGGAGGUGAAUGCAGGAGGUGAAUGCAGGAGGUGAAUGCAGGAGGUGAAUGCAGGAGGUGAAUGCAGGAGGUGAAUGCAGGAGGUGAAUGCAGGAGGUGAAUGCAGGAGGUGAAUGCAGCUUUAAGCAAGAUCCAGCUCGUUGGAUACUCCCAAAAUAAAGGGCCACUCAGACUCCAGGGAAGGAGAAUGGCACACAGGAUGCUGUGGUUUAUAGCCACCCGAUAAAUGGAAUGGCACCGAUGCACCAAAACCAGUCCCACACAGAAACAAUGUAAAUCCGGUGCCACAUUUUUAGGCUAUUUAUAAGAGCGGGCACUUAAAGGAAAAGGAAAUCUACAGAGACAGUUUAUUGGCUCCUCUCUCCUCACCACAC